UUGUACAUAAGCGGUCAUUAAUGCCUUCCCUAAAGAGGUUAGGCGCGUUCCAGACACAUGCAUCGCAUUUAGGUAUUUAUCACGCAUGAUUGUUAAAUCUGAACAAUCUGGCAAGUCAGAUUUAACAAUCAUGUGUAAUGAACACCUAGAUGCGUUGCGUGUGCUGGAACACGCCUAACCUCCUUAGGGAAGGCAUUAAUGAUUGCUUGUGUAACGCAAAACUGUGGUACAGGGGAAAAAAGAACAACUAAUCCACCUAACCGAACACGUAUGUACGUGCUUAUUGACUUGACUAUUUUGCUCACAGUUUGGAUGCUCUUAUCGGAUUCCUGGAUGAAGAAUUACAAAUAUCACAACAACGACCACGACAUUGCUCGUUUACUUUUAUCAGUUUUUAUGCUGUACCGGGAUUCUCUAACUUCUUAACGAUGAUUACGUAUCGAAAUAAUUCAAUAGCUGUGCAAGAUGCCAGAUUUUAUAUAGUGAAAAUUUAGUAAUUUUGGAAUGUUGUGCCUAGUUUUAUGAACACCGAACAAGAAAUUUAACCUUAUCAUCUUUAUUUGAUAAAU